rnacentral:rRNA from 1 species
GGUGGCCUACGGGACGCAGCAGUGAGGAAUAUUGGUCAAUGGCCGAGAGGCUGAACCAGCCAAGUCGCGUGAGGGAAGACGGCCCUACGGGUUGUAAACCUCUUUUGUCGGGGAGCAAAGCGAACCACGUGUGGUUCAUUGAGAGUACCCGAAGAAAAAGCAUCGGCUAACUCCGUGCCAGCAGCCGCGGGAAUACGGAGGAUGCGAGCGUUAUCCGGAUUUAUUGGGUUUAAAGGGUGCGCAGGCGGAGGGGCAAGUCAGCGGUCAAAUUGAGGGGCUCAACCCCGUACAGCCGUUGAAACUGG